rnacentral:rRNA from 1 species
UUAAGCGACUAAGCGUACACGGUGGAUGCCCUGGCAGUCAGAGGCGAUGAAGGACGUGCUAAUCUGCGAUAAGCGUCGGUGAGGUGAUAUGAACCGUUAUAACCGGCGAUUUCCGAAUGGGGAAACCCAGUGUGAUUCGACACACUAUCAUUAACUGAAUCCAUAGGUUAAUGAGGCGAACCGGGGGAACUGAAACAUCUAAGUACCCCGAGGAAAAGAAAUCAACCGAGAUUCCCCCAGUAGCGGCGAGCGAACGGGGAGGAGCCCAGAGCCUGAAUCAGUGUGUGUGUUAGUGGAAGCGUCUGGAAAGGCGCGCGAUACAGGGUGACAGCCCCGUACACAAAAAUGCACAUACUGUGAGCUCGAUGAGUAGGGCGGGACACGUGGUAUCCUGUCUGAAUAUGGGGGGACCAUCCUCCAAGGCUAAAUACUCCUGACUGACCGAUAGUGAACCAGUACCGUGAGGGAAAGGCGAAAAGAACCCCGGCGAGGGGAGUGAAAAAGAACCUGAAACCGUGUACGUACAAGCAGUGGGAGCCUCUUAAUGGGGUGACUGCGUACCUUUUGUAUAAUGGGUCAGCGACUUAUAUUCUGUAGCAAGGUUAACCGAAUAGGGGAGCCGAAGGGAAACCGAGUCUUAACUGGGCGUUAAGUUGCAGGGUAUAGACCCGAAACCCGGUGAUCUAGCCAUGGGCAGGUUGAAGGUUGGGUAACACUAACUGGAGGACCGAACCGACUAAUGUUGAAAAAUUAGCGGAUGACUUGUGGCUGGGGGUGAAAGGCCAAUCAAACCGGGAGAUAGCUGGUUCUCCCCGAAAGCUAUUUAGGUAGCGCCUCGUGAAUUCAUCUCCGGGGGUAGAGCACUGUUUCGGCAAGGGGGUCAUCCCGACUUACCAACCCGAUGCAAACUGCGAAUACCGGAGAAUGUUAUCACGGGAGACACACGGCGGGUGCUAACGUCCGUCGUGAAGAGGGAAACAACCCAGACCGCCAGCUAAGGUCCCAAAGUCAUGGUUAAGUGGGAAACGAUGUGGGAAGGCCCAGACAGCCAGGAUGUUGGCUUAGAAGCAGCCAUCAUUUAAAGAAAGCGUAAUAGCUCACUGGUCGAGUCGGCCUGCGCGGAAGAUGUAACGGGGCUAAACCAUGCACCGAAGCUGCGGCAGCGACACUAUGUGUUGUUGGGUAGGGGAGCGUUCUGUAAGCCUGUGAAGGUGGACUGUGAGGGAUGCUGGAGGUAUCAGAAGUGCGAAUGCUGACAUAAGUAACGAUAAAGCGGGUGAAAAGCCCGCUCGCCGGAAGACCAAGGGUUCCUGUCCAACGUUAAUCGGGGCAGGGUGAGUCGACCCCUAAGGCGAGGCCGAAAGGCGUAGUCGAUGGGAAACAGGUUAAUAUUCCUGUACUUGGUGUUACUGCGAAGGGGGGACGGAGAAGGCUAUGUUGGCCGGGCGACGGUUGUCCCGGUUUAAGCGUGUAGGCUGGUUUUCCAGGCAAAUCCGGAAAAUCAAGGCUGAGGCGUGAUGACGAGGCACUACGGUGCUGAAGCGACAAAUGCCCUGCUUCCAGGAAAAGCCUCUAAGCAUCAGGUAACAUCAAAUCGUACCCCAAACCGACACAGGUGGUCAGGUAGAGAAUACCAAGGCGCUUGAGAGAACUCGGGUGAAGGAACUAGGCAAAAUGGUGCCGUAACUUCGGGAGAAGGCACGCUGAUAUGUAGGUGAAGCGACUUGCUCGUGGAGCUGAAAUCAGUCGAAGAUACCAGCUGGCUGCAACUGUUUAUUAAAAACACAGCACUGUGCAAACACGAAAGUGGACGUAUACGGUGUGACGCCUGCCCGGUGCCGGAAGGUUAAUUGAUGGGGUUAGCGGUAACGCGAAGCUCUUGAUCGAAGCCCCGGUAAACGGCGGCCGUAACUAUAACGGUCCUAAGGUAGCGAAAUUCCUUGUCGGGUAAGUUCCGACCUGCACGAAUGGCGUAAUGAUGGCCAGGCUGUCUCCACCCGAGACUCAGUGAAAUUGAACUCGCUGUGAAGAUGCAGUGUACCCGCGGCAAGACGGAAAGACCCCGUGAACCUUUACUAUAGCUUGACACUGAACAUUGAGCCUUGAUGUGUAGGAUAGGUGGGAGGCUUUGAAGUGUGGACGCCAGUCUGCAUGGAGCCGACCUUGAAAUACCACCCUUUAAUGUUUGAUGUUCUAACGUGGGCCCCUUACCGGGGUUGCGGACAGUGUCUGGUGGGUAGUUUGACUGGGGCGGUCUCCUCCUAAAGAGUAACGGAGGAGCACGAAGGUUGGCUAAUCCUGGUCGGACAUCAGGAGGUUAGUGCAAUGGCAUAAGCCAGCUUGACUGCGAGCGUGACGGCGCGAGCAGGUGCGAAAGCAGGUCAUAGUGAUCCGGUGGUUCUGAAUGGAAGGGCCAUCGCUCAACGGAUAAAAGGUACUCCGGGGAUAACAGGCUGAUACCGCCCAAGAGUUCAUAUCGACGGCGGUGUUUGGCACCUCGAUGUCGGCUCAUCACAUCCUGGGGCUGAAGUAGGUCCCAAGGGUAUGGCUGUUCGCCAUUUAAAGUGGUACGCGAGCUGGGUUUAGAACGUCGUGAGACAGUUCGGUCCCUAUCUGCCGUGGGCGCUGGAGAACUGAGGGGGGCUGCUCCUAGUACGAGAGGACCGGAGUGGACGCAUCACUGGUGUUCGGGUUGUCAUGCCAAUGGCACUGCCCGGUAGCUAAAUGCGGAAGAGAUAAGUGCUGAAAGCAUCUAAGCACGAAACUUGCCCCGAGAUGAGUUCUCCCUGACUCCUUGAGAGUCCUGAAGGAACGUUGAAGACGACGACGUUGAUAGGCCGGGUGUGUAAGCGCAGCGAUGCGUUGAGCUAACCGGUACUAAUGAACCGUGAGGCUUAACCUU